rnacentral:rRNA from 1 species
AUUGAACGCUGGCGGCAGGCCUAACACAUGCAAGUCGAGCGGAUGAAGGGAGCUUGCUCCUGGAUUCAGCGGCGGACGGGUGAGUAAUGCCUAGGAAUCUGCCUGGUAGUGGGGGAUAACGUCCGGAAACGGGCGCUAAUACCGCAUACGUCCUGAGGGAGAAAGUGGGGGAUCUUCGGACCUCACGCUAUCAGAUGAGCCUAGGUCGGAUUAGCUAGUUGGUGGGGUAAGGCCUACCAAGGCGACGAUCCGUAACUGGUCUGAGAGGAUGAUCAGUCGCACUGGAACUGAGACACGGUCCAGACUCCUACGGGAGGCAGCAGUGGGGAAUAUUGGACAAUGGGCGAAAGCCUGAUCCAGCCAUGCCGCGUGUGUGAAGAAGGUCUUCGGAUUGUAAAGCACUUUAAGUUGGGAGGAAGGGCAGUAAGUUAAUACCUUGCUGUUUUGACGUUACCAACAGAAUAAGCACCGGCUAACUUCGUG